rnacentral:rRNA from 1 species
AGCUCCAAUAGCGUAUAUUAAAGUUGUUGCGGUUAAAAGCUCGUAGUUGGAUUUCUGUUGAAGGUGGGCCGUCCGCACUACGUGCGUGUAUGUGUUACAACUUCGGCAUCCUCAUGAAGAACGGCGAUGGGAUUCAUUUCUCGUCUCGGUAUUCAUGACUUUUACUUUGAGGAAAUUAGAGUGUUCACGGCAAGCAAACGCUUUGAAUACAUUAGCAUGGAAUAAUAAUAUAGGACCUUGGUACUAUUUUGUUGGUUUCUAGAACUAAGGUAAUGAUAAAUAGGGACAGUUGGGGGCAUUCGUAUUAAGACGUCAGAGGUGGAAUUCUUGGAUUGUCUUACGACGAACUACUGCGAAAGCAUUUGCCAAGGAUGUUUUCA